AGUGAGGGGGGGGUGUCCCUCAGCCUCGAUUGCGAGAAGGCACAGGCCAGGCCGAGGGACCACACCGGUGCACA
rnacentral:pre_miRNA from 1 species